rnacentral:lncRNA from 1 species
GCUGACUCCAAAUAGAGGGAGAAAUCUGAGACAGCUGACCAACCCAUGAAAGCAGACCUGAGGGUAGUUCAAGAGAGGAUCCAAGGGAUUUGAAAGGUCCCUGACAUCCCUGACAAGUGUCUCAAGGAAGACUCACAGGGUGUUAAUUGAUGUGAUAAAAAGAGAGAAAGCAGAUAACUCCUCCCACAGAAAAGCCCAAACACUGGAUUCAGGAAUAAAGAGGAAGAGGGAACUGCUUCCAGGUGGGGAGACUGGAGAAGCCUUGGGUUACUGUGCUGCAUGGAUGCGAGCCUCCCUGGAGUGAGGCUGCACUUCCUCCUGGCUGAAGACUGAGCUCAGCAGGACUCCAGCCCCACCCUUCAGAUAAGCCAGGAACACCCACACCUGGAGCUGCCCCUGAGCCAGCAAGCAGCCUCACAGCCCUGGUGUCAUUGGCUGAGACCCAGGAACCCUCAGGGAGAGCAGCUGCUCACCACAUACCACACAUCCUGCACACCAGCAUCCCUAGUCAGACUGAACCAAAAGCUCCACACAGGGGAUCACCGCCUACCAGCUCAUAAUCUGAUUCUCCAGCCACCGCACCCACCACCCUCCUUAGUGUGUCUUCUCAGUCCUGGACGCAGGCCAGUGUCUCCACCCUCCAACUCAUCCAAGACCUAACUGAUACCUUACGACAAUUUUACUGAAGGUGGAAACUAAUUGCAACUGCUACCAGAUGUUUUUGGUCUUAAAGCUCAUAGUCAAAAUCUGACCUAGAGUCUGCCCAGCUCCUAGCAGGAUUCCAGGUAGGGGGAACAGUCCUAGGAGUCUCCAGGAGUCUGCACACCUCAAAGACCACUCAUUUUGGCCCCAGAGAGAGAGAAGAAAAUCCGCCUCUCCCCAGUGCAAAGCCUGUGUCCUUUAUGGCCUCGGGACACACCUCUCCUUUUGGACAGCUCUGAGCCACACACAUGUGGCCUGAACAGCAGGGCCCAGAUGUGACAAUCAGAAGGACU